rnacentral:rRNA from 1 species
UACGUAGGGUGCGAGCGUUGUCCGGAAUUAUUGGGCGUAAAGAGCUCGUAGGCGGUCUGUCGCGUCUGCUGUGAAAUCCCGAGGCUCAACCUCGGGCUUGCAGUGGGUACGGGCAGGCUAGAGUGCGGUAGGGGAGAAUGGAACUCCUGGUGUAGCGGUGGAAUGCGCAGAUAUCAGGAAGAACACCGAUGGCGAAGGCAGUCCUCUGGGCCGUAACUGACGCUGAGGAGCGAAAGCGUGGGGAGCGAACAGG